UUGCUAUGGUGAAGGCAUUCCUUAACAACUCUUUAAACCUCUCUCAUGCAUCAGGAACAGCUUCAUCGUCCAUUUAUUUAAAAAGAUAGAUUUCAUUUCUGGACUA